rnacentral:rRNA from 1 species
CCUACGGGGAGCAGCAGUAAGGAAUUUUGCUCAAUGGCCGAAACGCUGACGCAGCAAAGCCGCGUGAGCGAUGAAGCCCUUCGGGGUGGAAAAAUCUGUCAGUAGGGACGAAACCUAACGGUACCCACAGAGGAAGCACCGGCUAACUGCGUGACAGCAGCCGGGGUAAUACGGGGGGGGCAAGUGUUGUCCGGAAUCAUUGGGCGUAAAGGGUUUGUAGGUGGCACGUUAAGUUUGGUGUUAAAGGCGGAAGUUCAACUUUCGUAGGGCAAUGGAUACUGGCAGGCUUGAAUGCGGUAGAGGUAAACGGAAUAAGUGGUGUAGCGGUGAAAUGCGUAGAUAUCAGGAGGAACACCGGUGGCGUAAGCGCUUUACUGGGCCGUAAUUGACGCUGAGGAACGAGAGCCGGGGUAGCAAAUGGGAUUAGAUACCCCAGUAGUC